UACGGAGGGUGCAAACGUUGCUCGGAAUCAUUGGGCGUAAAGCGCACGUAGGCGGUCCAGCAAGUCGGGUGUGAAAGCCCUCGGCUUAACCGAGGAAGUGCAUUCGAAACUACUGGACUUGAAUACUGGAGAGGAUCGCGGAAUUCCCAGUGUAGAGGUGAAAUUCGUAGAUAUUGGGAAGAACACCGGUGGCGAAGGCGGCGAGCUGGUCCAUUACUGACGCUGAGGCGCGACAGCGUGGGGAGCAAACAGG
rnacentral:rRNA from 1 species